rnacentral:rRNA from 1 species
UACGAAGGGGGCUAGCGUUGUUCGGAAUUACUGGGCGUAAAGCGCACGUAGGCGGAUAUUUAAGUCAGGGGUGAAAUCCCAGAGCUCAACUCUGGAACUGCCUUUGAUACUGGGUAUCUCGAGUAUGGAAGAGGUGAGUGGAAUUCCGAGUGUAGAGGUGAAAUUCGUAGAUAUUCGGAGGAACACCAGUGGCGAAGGCGGCUCACUGGUCCAUUACUGACGCUGAGGUGCGAAAGCGUGGGAGCAACAGG